AGAAGACAUCGCACCAUUGUGAAUGUGCAUUAAAAGCAAUGAUUUUCAUCUGCAUGUUCAUCACCUCAGCAGCAACAACCAUUCUGGCAAAAGAAUGCAAUUUGUCCGAACCAACUGGAGCUCACCAGUGUUUUGGAGAAGUGGGGCAGC